UACAGAGGCCUCGAGCGUUAGGCGGAAUCACUGGGCUUAAAGCGUGUGUAGGUGGAUGCCUAAGUACCUUGUGAAAUCCCACAGCUUAACUGUGGAAUUGCUUGGUAUACUGGGCGUCUUGAGCCACUCAGGGGCUACUGGAACAAACGGUGGAGCGGUGAAAUGCGUAGAUAUCGUUUGGAACGCCAAUGGUGAAAACAAGUAGCUGGGGGUGUGCUGACACUGAGACACGAAAGCCAGGGGAGCGAACGGG
rnacentral:rRNA from 1 species